GGACGAACGCUGGCGGCGUGCCUAACACAUGCAAGUCGAACGGACGAGGGAGCUUGCUCCCUGAGUUAGUGGCGAACGGGUGAGUAACGCGUGAGCAACCUGCCUUUCAGAGGGGGACAACGGUUGGAAACGACCGCUAAUACCGCAUGAAGCAAUCGGACCGCAUGAUCUGAUUGCCAAAGAUUUUAUCGCUGAAAGAUGGGCUCGCGUCUGAUUAGAUAGUUGGUGGGGUAACGGCUCACCAAGUCGACGAUCAGUAGCCGGACUGAGAGGUUGAACGGCCACAUUGGGACUGAGAUACGGCCCAGACUCCUACGGGAGGCAGCAGUGGGGAAUAUUGGGGACAAUGGGGGAAACCCUGACCCAGCAACGCCGCGUGAAGGAAGAAGGCUUUCGGGUUGUAAACUUCUUUUACCAGGGACGAAGGACGUGACGGUACCUGGAGAAAAAGCCACGGCUAACUACGUGCCAGCCGCCGC
rnacentral:rRNA from 1 species